rnacentral:tRNA from 1 species
GCGACCGUAGUCUAGAGGCUAUGAUUUCUGCCUGCCACGCAGACGGCCCGGGUUCAAAUCCCGGCGGUCGCACCA